UCAAAGAUUAAAGAUUUCUUUUUGAAAAAGCAAUUUUUCUCUAAGGACUCUGUCAGCAUAUUCCAUAACCUUUGUAUAAGUCAUUUGGCUCAUGAUUACAGGGGAAAACCAUGCUGAAAACAUUU
rnacentral:snoRNA from 1 species